rnacentral:rRNA from 1 species
GAUGAACGCUGGCGGCGUGCUUAACACAUGCAAGUCGAACGGAAAGGCCUGCUUUCCCUUGUGGAUUGCGGGUACUCGAGUGGCGAACGGGUGAGUAACACGUGAGUGAUCUGCCCCCAACUUGGGUAUAAGCCUGGGAAACUGGGUCUAAUUCCCGAUAGGACUGCAGGGUGGUGCCUGUGGUGGAAAACGUUCUUCUAGUGGUUGGGGAUGAGCUCGCGGCCUAUCAGCUUGUUGGUGGGGUAAUGGCCUACCAAGGCGGCGACGGGUAGCCGGCCUGAGAGGGUGGACGGCCACAUUGGGACUGGGAUACGGCCCAGACUCCUACGGGAGGCAGCAGUGGGGAAUAUUGCACAAUGGGCGGAAGCCUGAUGCAGCGACGCCGCGUGGGGGAUGACGGCCUUCGGGUUGUAAACUCCUUUCGACCGCGAGGAAGCCACCUGGUUGGAAGGGUGGUGACGGUAGUGGUAGAAGAAGCACCGGCUAACUACGUG